rnacentral:rRNA from 1 species
AGUGAACGCUGGCGGUAGGCCUAACACAUGCAAGUCGAACGGCAGCACAGUAAGAGCUUGCUCUUACGGGUGGCGAGUGGCGGACGGGUGAGGAAUACAUCGGAAUCUACUUUUUCGUGGGGGAUAACGUAGGGAAACUUACGCUAAUACCGCAUACGACCUACGGGUGAAAGCAGGGGAUCUUCGGACCUUGCGCGAUACAAUGAGCCGAUGUCGGAUUAGCUAGUUGGCGGGGUAAAGGCCCACCAAGGCGACGAUCCGUAGCUGGUCUGAGAGGAUGAUCAGCCACACUGGAACUGAGACACGGUCCAGACUCCUACGGGAGGCAGCAGUGGGGAAUAUUGGACAAUGGGCGCAAGCCUGAUCCAGCCAUACCGCGUGGGUGAAGAAGGCCUUCGGGUUGUAAAGCCCUUUUGUUGGGAAAGAACAGCAGCAGGUUAAUACCCCGCUGUUCUGACGGUACCCAAAGAAUAAGCACCGGCUAACUUCGUG